AGCUUUUAUUUGCAGUUCAGGGCUGCUUGCGUCAGGACAACGCGGUGAAGGGCGGACUGGCGAUGAAGAACGUCAGGAUUCCAGUUGCGGAACAUGGUCCAUGAUGGUGUGGGCAGCCGUCUCGCGGCAGUCAUUAGGCUGAUGGUUGCUCCUGUGGCAGAUGUUUGUCUUCAAUGGACCCUGUUCUUACACAGUGUGGCAAACAAAUCAAUACCCUGCAGCAGGUCCAAAGAGUGGAUGUGACAGGCCUGAUCCCCGUCACGCCGCGACCCGCCGCAUCGCAGGACGGUGAUUUAUACCCCUCCUCGCUGUUUUACAUGCCCCCGCUUGGGAAAGUCUUUUGGUUCAUCCAUCUGACCCGCUGAGUGGGUAUUGAUUAGCGCUUAUUUAAUGAGUUACUGAGAUAAUCUGCCAAAUAAAUAUUAGGCACCACUGUAAUCGUAAAUGGGGGGGAAGUUUUUGGGGGAAAAGG